GAUAGCUCAGUUGGUAGAGCGACGGACUGUUAAUCCGCAGGUCGCAGGUUCGAGCCCUGCUC
rnacentral:tRNA from 2 species